rnacentral:rRNA from 1 species
UACGGAGGGGACUAGCGUUGUUCGGAAUUACUGGGCGUAAAGCGCACGUAGGCGGAUUUGUAAGUCGGGGGUGAAAUCCCGAGGCUCAACCUCGGAACUGCCUUCGAUACUGGCGACCUUCGAGUCCGGGAGAGGUGAGUGGAACUCCGAGUGUAGAGGUGAAAUUCGUAGAUAUUCGGAAGAACACCAGUGGCGAAGGCGGCUCACUGGCCCGGUACUGACGCUGAGAUACGAAAGCGUGGGGAGCAAACAGG